rnacentral:lncRNA from 1 species
GUAGAAUGGGUACAACCGGUCUUUCUCUUAACAUAACAUAUCAUAACAUUCCAAUGUGCCAGGGAUGUAGAAUGGGUACAACCUGGACUUUCUCUUACAUCGUGCCAGGGACUUAGAAUGGGUACAACCUGAACUUCCAUACCAUAUCAUGCCGUAACAUCAUCAUGCCAUAUGAGGACUAAAGGAUCAUCCAAUAACCAAUCCACAUCAACAUCAUAAAUGCAAUGCAACAUAUUCGUGAAUACUAAUGCAAACAACCUACUAUAUCUCAUGGCAUUCAUGAUGCAUGGAUCAUGCUCGAAAUUCAUAUUUCAUUUAUUUUAAAACUUAAAGUUUA